CCCGGGGCGGCCCGGCGCCCACCCGCAGCCCGCCGGCCCGGGAAGUCCCGCGGUCGCGGCAGCUGUUUUCCGUGGAAGAAGCUGGCGCGCUGCAGCGGGACUGUGUGGGAGGAUCGGCGUUCCCGGGAAAGGACGGCGGCUCGGCGCCAGCGGGCUGCGUUUGCCCGAGUGCCGCUGUGGCCUCGUGAGUCCCUGUCGGAGGCGCAGCUUCCUCGUCUGCAAAGCCAGGUGACCUGGUGGAGAAGCAGACAAGCUGGAUGUGAGAUCCCUGUCCUCAAGGAAUUUGCAGAGUGGUGAGGGAGACAGACCCACAGUCAACGAAACAGAUGAGGCAUCAUCGUCAUCAUCAUAACAGCUUGCAGGCCUAACUCCAAUUCUAACUCCUUCACGAAUUCGUCCAUGAAACCUUGCAUAAAUGGUCUCAAAAUAUAAGGCGCUGGCCGAGUCACGGAGCUGAACCAGACACAGUCUCUGCCCACCGCCUAGUGGGAGAGAUGAUUCGAAGACACAGCAGUGGUGGAGAGCAGACCGUGAUAACACAAAGCAGGACAGAUGGAGGAGGAGAGACCAUUUCAACAGAGGACAGGUUUUCCCUUUGCUGAGAGCUGUUUAUUAGGCUUGUGUUUAGAGUGGGGUUUGGGGAGUGGGAGCUGAGGGGACCUUAAGAAAUCUUGGGGAUGGGGGAGUGAGGAGGUGGAUCUAGCCAGGCUGGAGAGGCUCACCAAGGAGAUGGGCCCUGGGGAGACAGGAGCGAGGGGUCAGCUGGGUAAGGGGAGGACAUGUGAGGGAAGAGCUGCUUCAGUGGAAACGUUAGCAAGCUUUGCUUUGUGAUAUGUAACGUCAUCUUCCUCCCUGUUGCUCUGAAAACUUCCGAAAAAUCUCUGUUACUCAAUAACAUUUGCAGGGCUUGGGCAUUAGUCAAAGGGGGCCUCAUACCGUAUGUCCACGUAUCUAAGAGUUAAAAAUCAAACUCAAUCACUGUCAAAUAAAACAUGGUCUGUCCUCCUGCCUUGACAAAUACACCUUUGGAAAGCCCUGGAAAGGCCAGCUGUGAAUCCAGAACUUUCUACUUCUUGGAGUUCUGUGUCAAACAUGUCAUUACAAGGAGUAUCUACCCCUGGCCCUGAGCCCCGGCGUGGCCCCCCUGCCUCCCUCUCCCACCCUCUGCUCCAUCCCACACAGCAAGGGUCCUUCUGCUGUGACAGAAACAUGAG